UACGUAGGGUGCGAGCGUUGUCCGGAAUUAUUGGGCGCAAAGAGCUCGUAGGCGGUUUGUCGCGUCUGCUGUGAAAACCCGAGGCUCAACCUCGGGCCUGCAGUGGGUACGGGCAGACUAGAGUGCGGUAGGGGAGAUUGGAAUUCCUGGUGUAGCGGUGGAAUGCGCAGAUAUCAGGAGGAACACCCGUAGCGAAGGCGGCACUCGUGGGCCGAUACUGACACUGAGGAGCGAAAGCGUGGGGAGCGAACAGG
rnacentral:rRNA from 1 species